GACGAACGCUGGCGGCGUGCUUAACACAUGCAAGUCGAACGAUGAAGCCGGAGCUUGCUCUGGUGAAUUAGUGGCGAACGGGUGAGUAACACGUGAGUAACCUGCCUUUGACUCUGGGAUAACUGCUAGAAAUGGUAGCUAAUACCGGAUACGACCCUCGGAGGCAUCUUCAGGGGGUGGAAAGAAUUUCGGUCAAGGAUGGACUCGCGGCCUAUCAGCUAGUUGGUGAGGUAACGGCUCACCAAGGCGACGACGGGUAGCCGGCCUGAGAGGGUGACCGGCCACACUGGGACUGAGACACGGCCCAGACUCCUACGGGAGGCAGCAGUGGGGAAUAUUGCACAAUGGGCGCAAGCCUGAUGCAGCGACGCCGCGUGAGGGAUGACGGCCUUCGGGUUGUAAACCUCUUUUAGUAGGGAAGAAGCGAAAGUGACGGUACCUGCAGAAAAAGCACCGGCUAACUGCGUGCCAGCAGCCGCGGUAA
rnacentral:rRNA from 1 species